rnacentral:rRNA from 1 species
AGAGUUUGAUCAUGGCUCAGGACGAACGCUGGCGGCGUGCCUAAUACAUGCAAGUCGAGCGGACUUAUAGGAGCUUGCUCCUAUAAGUUAGCGGCGGACGGGUGAGUAACACGUGGGCAACCUACCUGUAAGACUGGGAUAACUUCGAGAAACCGGAGCUAAUACCGGAUAAUCCUUUUCCUCACAUGAGGGAAAGCUGA